ACGGAGGGUGCGAGCGUUAUUCGGAAUUACUGGGCGUAAAGGGCGUGCAGGCGGGAGAGCAAGUCUGGUGUGAAAGCCCCGGGCUUAACCCCGGAAGGGCAUUUGAAACUGCUUUUCUUGAGUUCUGGAGAGGAAGGUAGAAUUCCCCGUGUAGAGGUGAAAUGCGUAGAGAUCGGGAGGAACACCAGUGGCGAAGGCGACCUUCUGGACAGGAACUGACGCUGAGACGCGAAAGCGUGGGGAGCAAACAG
rnacentral:rRNA from 1 species